UACAUAAAAUAAAAUAUAAUACGAAACUAUAAAAAUAAUGGAUGUUGUCAUUUCCAUAUCUAAUUAAAGGCCACGAGUCCUAAGUUGCUGUAGAAAAUUUAUUACAUUUGUCCUCUUGGGCCUGUUUGGGAAACAAAUGAUCAAAAAAAUCUCCAUAUCCAGGCAGCUCGAGAAUCAUCCUUCCACAGUAUUCAACACUGGUUGGUGCUGUGGGACUUCACUUUUCAUUAUCUGGCCUUUUAUUUUUCUUCCUACUUGACUUUUCGUUUCUAUCUCUCUUUCUAUCACCGCUUGAGAAG
rnacentral:misc_RNA from 1 species